rnacentral:tRNA from 1 species
GCUACCGUAGCUCAGUGGUAGAGCACAUCCUUGGUAAGGAUGAGGCCAUGGGUUCAAUCCCCAUCGGUAGCU